rnacentral:rRNA from 1 species
AGCGAACGCUGGCGGCAGGCUUAACACAUGCAAGUCGAGCGGGCACCUUCGGGUUUCAGCGGCAGACGGGAGCGUAACACGUGGGAACGUACCCUUCGGUUCGGAAUAACGCUGGGAAACUAGCGCUAAUACCGGAUACGCCCUUAUGGGGAAAGGUUUACUGCCGAAGGAUCGGCCCGCGUCGGAUUAGCCAGUUGGUGGGGUAACGGCCUACCAAGGCGAGGAUCAGUAGCUGGUCUGAGAGGAUGAUCAGCCACACUGGGACUGAGACACGGCCCAGAAUCCUACGGGAGGCAGCAGUGGGGAAUAUUGGACAAUGGGCGCAAGCCUGAUCCAGCCAUGCCGCGUGAGUGAUGAAGGGCUUAGGGUUGUAAAGCUCUUUUGUACGGGACGAUAAUGACGGUACCGGAAGAAUAAGCCCCGGCUAACUUCGUG